rnacentral:pre_miRNA from 1 species
AAUAAGAUUGUUUUUCAGUUUUUUGAUACAAUGUUUUAACUCUUCAUCUUAUUUGAAAUUUUUUGUAAUUAAUAUUUUUAUUCUUAUUCUUACUAGAUGAUAAAAUAUGAAUAAUACUUUAUGCGUGACUAAAUUUUUAAAUUUUUAAAGUUUUUUAAAUAAGACGAAUGGUUAAACGCUGGACACGGAAAAAC